UUACUUCUCUCACUCGUCUGUCCUCUUCGUCUUCUUACAAUCCAGAAAAGCGGUUCCAUUAUUACCCAGGCCAAAGACGGAGUUUGGAAAUAGUUUCGUCACAAGUUGGAGUGUGAAAAUUAUUUAUGCUAUCAGCUCAACUUUUACCUGAGGACAAGAAUUCUGCAACUACGACACCACCGCCAAACGGCCGGGUAUGUUAGGGUUAGGGUUAGGGUUAGGGAAUGUAAUUCUGAUUGGGAUUUGGACUUGUGGUAAUGUCUCUUUUCUGUAUUUCACUGGCUUCAAUUUUUAUUCAGUAUAGUAUUUUGAAUAGAAAGCAGCAUAUAAGCUGUUCAAUAUCCUGUUUGCAUUAUUUAUUCCGUAUAGUGAAUCCUUAAUGCUAUGUUUAUAUGCUCUUUUGUUAUCUAUUGAUCCUUGGAAAAGGAAUGUUUGACUUAAAAUAUUGGACUACCAUAUCCAGGUUACUUUUUGUUUAGAUUAGAUUUAUGUGAUUAAUUUCAGUACUAUUCUAUUCUAACGAAAAUAUUGUU
rnacentral:lncRNA from 1 species